rnacentral:rRNA from 1 species
GUAGUCAUAUGCUUGUCUCAAAGAUUAAGCCAUGCAUGUCUAAGUAUAAGCAAUUUAUACGGUGAAACUGCGAAUGGCUCAUUAAAUCAGUUAUCGUUUAUUUGAUAGUACCUUACUACAUGGAUACCUGUGGUAAUUCUAGAGCUAAUACAUGCUAAAAACCUCGACUUCGGAAGGGGUGUAUUUAUUAGAUAAAAAACCAAUGCCCUUCGGGGCUCCUUGGUGAAUCAUAAUAACUUAACGAAUCGCAUGGCCUUGCGCCGGCGAUGGUUCAUUCAAAUUUCUGCCCUAUCAACUUUCGAUGGUAGGAUAGUGGCCUACCAUGGUGGCAACGGGUAACGGGGAAUG